rnacentral:rRNA from 1 species
CUAUGGCCAUACCACCCUGAACACGCCUGAUCUUGUCUGAUUUCGGAAGCUAAGCAGGGUCAGGCAUGGUUAGUAUUUAGAUGGGAGAUAAUUAUAUUUUGCUUUUCUUUUUGAGACAGUGUUACUUUGUCGCCAUGG